AUUGGGUAACUCUUCUUCGUCGUUUUCUAUUUGGUAGCAUCCGAUUGCUAUCUCUGUAUCUCGCUCUCCGUCCAUGGACCUCUGGUUUACGUUUGCGGAUCCAAUCAGAAUGUACAAAUCGUCCACUGGAAAAUACCGACAUGUUCGUGGUGUAGCAAUUUACAUCAGCAAGGAGAGGGAAAGCUAGCUUGGAAUGCAAUGCAAAAGGUCUAUUUGGCAGUUGGAAAAACUUGUGGAAUUUUCCAUCUCAAUCUUAGAGGUAAUCUUUUAGUCCACUAUUUUAUGCUUCAAGCCCAAGUCUCUUCAACUCCAAUCACAUUUUUCAUUUCUUCCCCUGAAAAACAUGAGAAUUAUAAAUAAUGCUCUGCCUUAAAACCAUUUUAAUCUUAUUCUCACAUUUUUAUAAUGAAGGAGAAGUUGUGUUCUUUCC